rnacentral:rRNA from 1 species
AUUGAACGCUGGCGGCAGGCUUAACACAUGCAAGUCGCGCGAGCGGCGGACGGGUGUGUAAUGUCUGUGACCCUGCCUGAUGGAGGGGGAUAACUACUGGACACGGUAGCUACUACCGCCUACCCUCACAUGUGCCCAGAUGGGAUGAGCGAGUAGGUGGGGUAAUGGCUCACCUAGGCGACGAUCCCUAGCUGGUCUGAGAGGAUGACCAGCAACACUGGAACUGAGACACGGUCCAGACUCCUACGGGAGGCAGCAGUGGGGAAUAUUGGACAAUGGGCGCAAGCCUGAUGCAGCCAUGCCGCGUGUGUGAAGAAGGCCUUCGGGUUGUAAAGCACUUUCAGCGAGGAGGCGUUACUCGCAGAAGAAGCACCGGCUAACUCCGUGCCAGCAGCCGCGGUAAUAC